AGGACGAACGCUGGCGGCGUGCUUAACACAUGCAAGUCGAGCGGUAAGGCCUUUCGGGGUACACGAGCGGCGAACGGGUGAGUAACACGUGGGUGAUCUGCCCUGCACUCUGGGAUAAGCCUGGGAAACUGGGUCUAAUACCGGAUAUGACCUGCUCUCGCAGUGGGGGGUGGGUGGAAAGAUUUAUCGGUGCAGGAUGGGCCCGCGGCCUAUCAGCUUGUUGGUGGGGUAAUGGCCUACCAAGGCGACGACGGGUAGCCGACCUGAGAGGGUGACCGGCCACACUGGGGACUGAGACACGGCCCAGACU
rnacentral:rRNA from 1 species